GACUACAUGAAAAGUAAAAUCCCAUGCCAAAACUUUGAUUUCCUUCUGCAAUUCCUCCCAACAAAGUUUGGUUCCAUGGGGUUCAGAAGAAUUCAGGUGAAUGAAAAGUCUAGUUUCUUUGAAGUAUAGAAGAUUUGAGGAAGAAAAGUAAGGCCAAAUUUUUGCUUCUGACGACUAUGGGUGUAAGAUUUUUGCAUAGGUGGUUUUCUUUUAUUAUCUUCAUUUUGAUGAGAGUUGGAGGAUAGUAAUUGAGAAUCCAGGUUGGUAAUUGGAAAACUGGGCCAGGCACGUACAAAACAGAGGGCUCGACCUAGUGUCCACUAAAUCCUAGGCCUAGCCCCACUUGGCUAUUAACGGGCUGGGUAAUGGGUCUGGCAGUAACUCAAUUGGGCCUACCAGACCUUCACGGUGAUGGCUUGGCCUGAUGCCGACCCCUAAUCACAAUAAGGGGACAAUUGGGUCCAAUUAAAGUAAGAAAUUUUAGUAAGGAAAAACAACAGAUUUCUUUUUGGUCUCUUUUCUUUUUGAGGAAAUAAAGGGACUGACAAUGGCUUUGCGAGGUGAAAUUAACAACACAAAGGAGAAACAGAGAGCUGUCAACUCUCCGGAGUAGUUUAAAAUCGGAAGUUAGGGUUUGUAUUCCUUGGUGUGUGAAAUUUGGUUCUGUCCUUUCUUCAUUUCGUGAUCUUUACGCUGAAACAUGUUUAGUCCAUGGUACUUAAUUCAAAAAUUUUUACAAUGAUUA